rnacentral:rRNA from 1 species
GUGCCAUCCGCCGCGGUAAUACGUAGGGUGCGAGCGUUAAUCGGAAUUACUGGGCGUAAAGCGUGCGCAGGCGGUUUUUUAAGCCAGACGUGAAAGCCCCGGGCUUAACCUGGGAAUGGCGUUUGGGACUGGAAGGCUGGAGUACGGCAGAGGGAGGUGGAAUUCCACGUGUAGCAGUGAAAUGCGUAGAUAUGCGGAGGAACACCGAUGGCGAAGGCAAUCCCCUGGGCCUGCACUGACGCUCAUGCACGAAAGCGUGGGGAGCAAACAGGAUUAGAUACCCUGGUAGUCCACGCCCUAAACGAUGCGAACUAGUCGUUGGGGGAGCAAUCCCUUAGUGACGCAGCUAACGCGUGAAGUUCGCCGCCUGGGGAGUACGGUCGCAAGAUUAAAACUCAAAUGAAUUGACGG